rnacentral:ncRNA from 1 species
CUAUCAUAAGAAAUGAGUUCUCAUAUAUGCUCGGGAAUAUGGCCUGAGCGUUUCUACCCGGAUACCGUAAAUUUCCGGACUAUGGGAAAAUCGAUCAGCACG